rnacentral:rRNA from 1 species
CCUACGGGUGGCUGCAGCAGGGAAUAUUGCGCAAUGAGCGAAAGCUUGACGCAGCGACACCGCGUGUGGGAUGACGGAUCUAGGUUUGUAAACCACUUUCAGGAGGGAAGAAAAUGACGGUACCUCCACAAGAAGCCCCGGCCAACUACGUGCCAGCAGCCGCGGUAAUACGUAGGGGGCGAGCGUUGUCCGGAUUUAUUGGGCGUAAAGAGCUCGUAGGCGGUUCAACAAGUCGGUCGUGAAAGUUCAGGGCUCAACCCUGAAAUGUCGAUCGAUACUGUUGUGACUAGGAUACGGUAGAGGUGAGUGGAAUUCCGAGUGUAGCGGUGAAAUGCGUAGAUAUUCGGAGGAACACCAAUUGCGAAGGCAGCUCACUGGGCCGCUAUCGACGCUGAGGAGCGAAAGCUAGGGGAGCAAACAGGAUUAGAUACCCCAGUAGUC